GCCACAGGACCUGUCCAUAGGGUGGAUGCCGUGUGGGUGACAGAGAGAAACCGGGGCUCACGGCCUGGACAGCAGGACAGGUGGAGUCGUCCUCACCUGUGCUGGGGACUCCGUGGGAGCAGCAGGCUUCCGAGCACGUGUUGGACCCCGGCGUCUCCGGCUGCCCCGAGUGGUCAGGACAUUGAGGCCGGGUCAGGGAGCGUGAGAUACCGGGACGAGCGGGCCCAGGGCUGAGCCCAGCGGUGUCCGGGUGGGCGGUGGCGUUGAGAUGGGAACUGGGAAUUGCACCGGUGGUCUCAGGAGGAUGGAAAACCCAAGCAGCAGCUGGACCAGGACCGAGGCAAAGGGACCGCAGUUUAACAGAAAACCCAAAACGAGAGCGAGAAAAUGGCCAAAAACCCGUGCGAGGAGGAAACCCAAGCUCCGCCGAGCGCGGCGGGUCUGUGCCUUCGCUUCGCUUCCAGCCUCUCGCUUCCUUCUGACCCGACCCCGAGUUCUUUCUCCGGACGGUGUCGAGAACCCGGGCGCCGGCUGGGGCUGGGGUCUCGCUGGCAUCGGAGCCCCCCCCGAGCCCUCAGGCAACAGCGAGGGAACGCCAGGCCCCCGGACGCGACCCAC
rnacentral:antisense_RNA from 1 species